GAGUUUGAUCGUGGCUCAGGAUGAACGCUGGCGGCGUGCCUAAUACAUGCAAGUCGAGCGAACGGACGAGAAGCUUGCUUCUCUGAUGUUAGCGGCGGACGGGUGAGUAACACGUGGAUAACCUACCUAUAAGACUGGGAUAACUUCGGGAAACCGGAGCUAAUACCGGAUAAUAUUUUGAACCGCAUGGUUCAAAAGUAAAAGACGGUCUUGCUGUCACUUAUAGAUGGAUCCGCGCUGCAUUAGCUAGUUGGUAAGGUAACGGCUUACCAAGGCAACGAUGCAUAGCCGACCUGAGAGGGUGAUCGGCCACACUGGAACUGAGACACGGUCCAGACUCCUACGGGAGGCAGCAGUAGGGAAUCUUCCGCAAUGGGCGAAAGCCUGACGGAGCAACGCCGCGUGAGUGAUGAAGGUCUUCGGAUCGUAAAACUCUGUUAUUAGGGUAAGAACAUAUGUGUAAGUAACUGUGCACAUCUUGACGGUACCUAAUCAGAAAGCCACGGCUAACUACGUGU
rnacentral:rRNA from 1 species